CCCCGUCUUCUCUGACUUGUGAGACCUGUUUAUUUUUCGUUGAAGUCUGUUUCUUGGGGUUGGCUCUGUGGUUUUCAGUGAUAUUUUUGAUUCCAUGGAUUCACCGGUUUUCGCCCGAAAUUAUCAGUAAGCUGUGGAUUGUCUUGAUUUGUGUUAAGUGUUAAUUUAUUUAGUAUUAUUACUUCCACAAAAUUUGUGAAUAAAGUAAAAUGUCUGAUGCUGAAGACGAUUUUAUGUGUGAAGAGGAGGAGGAUUACGGUUUGGAAUAUUCGGAAGAUAGCAACUCUGAACCAGAUGUAGAUCUAGAGAAUCAGUAUUACAACUCCAAAGCUUUGAAGGAAGAUGAUCCAAAGGCAGCCCUUGCAUCCUUCCAGAAAGUGCUUGACUUGGAAGGAGGAGAGAAGGGCGAAUGGGGGUUCAAAGCACUGAAACAGAUGAUAAAAAUAAACUUUAAACUGAGUAAUUACCGGGAGAUGAUGGCACGCUACAAGCAGCUCCUGACAUACAUUAAGAGCGCGGUAACACGCAACCACAGUGAGAAAUCCAUCAACUCCAUUCUUGACUACAUUUCCACAUCCAAGAAUUUAGUUAUGUUGCAGAUGGAGUUGCUGCAAGACUUUUACGAAACUACACUAGAAGCUCUUAAAGAUGCGAAGAAUGACCGACUUUGGUUCAAGACAAACACAAAGCUUGGAAAACUGUACUUUGACCGCUCAGACUUCAACAAACUGGCCAAGAUUCUCAAGCAGCUCCACCAGUCAUGUCAAUGUUGUAUGUGUUGGGAAGACUGCUGCUUUCAAUCUGCCCCAUCUCUCGUGUUGCAGACGGAUGAAGGUGAGGAUGACUUGAAGAAGGGCACCCAACUUUUGGAAAUCUAUGCCCUUGAGAUACAGAUGUAUACAGCGCAGAAAAAUAACAAGAAGUUGAAGACCUUGUACGAGCAGUCGUUACACAUUAAGUCUGCUAUCCCGCACCCUCUCAUCAUGGGCGUCAUCCGAGAGUGUGGUGGGAAGAUGCAUCUCCGGGAGGGGGAGUUUGAGAAGGCUCACACUGACUUCUUUGAGGCUUUCAAGAACUAUGAUGAGUCGGGCAGUCCGCGCCGUACAACCUGCUUGAAGUACCUUGUGCUGGCAAACAUGCUUAUGAAGUCUGGCAUCAACCCUUUUGACUCACAGGAAGCAAAACCUUACAAGAAUGAUCCCGAGAUUCUGGCUAUGACGAACCUCGUCUCCUCCUACCAGAACAACGACAUCAACGAGUUCGAGACUAUUCUGAAGCAGAAUCGUCGUAACAUCAUGGAUGACCCUUUCAUACGGGAACAUAUUGAAGACCUCCUUCGUAACAUCCGCACGCAGGUGCUUAUCAAGUUGAUCACCCCUUACACGAGGAUACACAUCCCGUUCAUCUCAAAGGAGCUGAACAUAGACGCCUGUGAAGUGGAGAGUCUCCUUGUUUCCUGCAUUCUGGACAGUACAAUACGCGGCCGUAUCGACCAGGUGAAUCAGGUUCUAGAAUUGGACAAACAGUCGGUGUGUGCGGCUCGUUACAAUGCCUUGGACAAGUGGACAAGUCAGCUGGCAACACUACACCUUGCUGUUGUCAACAAGAUGGCAUGAAUUUUAUAAUCUCCCCAUCAAAAGCUCCAUCAUACAAAGCUUCAGGACCGUACAUUAAAGCACCCUAGUUUUCUCACACGUCGAAAGUCCGCAUGGCUGUAUUGUUGGUAUCAUUGAAGAUAAGGAUAAAAGUACACCCAGCAAUUAGAGGAGUGUG